rnacentral:rRNA from 2 species
ACCUUUUGUAUAAUGGGUCAGCGACUUAUAUUCUGUAGCAAGGUUAACCGUAUAGGGGAGCCGAAGGGAAACCGAGUCUUAACUGGGCGUUAAGUUGCAGGGUAUAGACCCGAAACCCGGUGAUCUAGCCAUGGGCAGGUUGAAGGUUGGGUAACACUAACUGGAGGACCGAACCGACUAAUGUUGAAAAAUUAGCGGAUGACUUGUGGCUGGGGGUGAAAGGCCAAUCAAACCGGGAGAUAGCUGGUUCUCCCCGAAAGCUAUUUAGGUAGCGCCUCGUGAACUCAUCUUCGGGGGUAGAGCACUGUUUCGGCUAGGGGGUCAUCCCGACUUACCAACCCGAUGCAAACUGCGAAUACCGAAGAAUGUUAUCACGGGAGACACACGGCGGGUGCUAACGUCCGUCGUGAAGAGGGAAACAACCCAGACCGCCAGCUAAGGUCCCAAAGUCACAGUUAAGUGGGAAACGAUGUGGGAAGGCUCAGACAGCCAGGAUGUUGGCUUAGAAGCAGCCAUCAUUUAAAGAAAGCGUAAUAGCUCACUGGUCGAGUCGGCCUGCGCGGAAGAUGUAACGGGGCUAAACUGUGCACCGAAGCUGCGGCAGCGACGCUUAUGCGUUGUUGGGUAGGGGAGCGUUCUGUAAGCCUGCGAAGGUGUCCUGUGAGGGAUGCUGGAGGUAUCAGAAGUGCGAAUGCUGACAUAAGUAACGAUAA